rnacentral:lncRNA from 1 species
UACUGUCAAAAAUAGGCAAUAAAUUGAUUUUAAAAAUCGUAAAAAUUAAAGAAAAAUACCAAAAUUUUCAAGAAUGCUUAUAUAUGCAUACAUAUACUAUUUUGAAUUUGGGUGCAAAAAUAUAUAUAGGGAAAAUUGGGUAUCAACACCUCAUAUUGAACUUCAAGCCAUCUUCCAUUACCAUUCUCAUCAAAUUUGUCAUCAAAUCCCAGCCACACAUGAUGAGUUCUUGGUUUUGUUAAGUCAAUUUGAACCUUUACGUUUGCCACACUUCCCCUAUACUUUUGAAAGGAAGCCAAAUCCAGAUGAAGUGCCUUGCCUACAGGGGUCAAAACACCUGCCAAUAACUUCAUAUAGUAAAAAUUCUAGGGGAGUUAAGGAAUUACCACCCAAGUAGGAACAAUGGGAGAAUCUUCUAAAGGAUUAAAAGUUGGAGUCACGGCUUCCAGUUUCAUCAUUUUCCCUUGGAUAUAUAUGGUUUGUCUGGUCAACACUAUUACAUGGUUAUAUUCACCUUCCAAGUCGAUGUAGACUGUUCUGGCAUUGAAGUGUGCAAUAUUGACACUGCCUUUGAGCUCAGUCUUAGUGAUGAAGCUUUUCGUGAUGGAUUCCAUUUUGGGCAUGGUGUUGGUAAAUUUGCCAACCACAAUGUAUUUACAUCUUGCAGCAAGAUUAACCAUGUAGUAUUCUCUGAUGUAGAUGACAUCAGUUUGGCCUUGUUCAGUUGUGAUUCUGGGCGGGGUAAAUGAGAUAGGGUCAAUUGCAGCUUCAUGUAUAGCCCUAAUCUUGGUGACAAAGGAAUGGGUGACUGUUGGUAGUGCUGGAACAGGGGGUUAUUUCAUUGUUUAGCUUUUGGGUUUAGGUUUUUGUGAUGGGUUUUAGCUGGAGGUCUGGAAGGUUGUUGGGGGAGGUUAGACUCUGUGUGUGAUUUAUUGGGAUUCUGUUUGUCAAAGUUAGAAGAAAUUUAGGCAUUGCAUUUUUGGUGUGGUGAACUGGAGCUUUGGUUAGGAUUUGGUUGGGUGUUUCAUUAAGUGUAGUUACAUGCUUGGGAUUAUUGUUUGGUACAGGCUGAGGUAGAUUAUUAAUGGGACUUUGGUGAGAAGGGGGAGAUUUGGUUGGCACUAGAUUGUUAAAACCUGUUGCAUAGCCAUUGUGAUUUGGUAGUAGAGAUUGGAUGGUAAUAGUACCCGACUUUGUUGCUACUGCAACACCUAAUGCUGAGACCACCUGAUAAGCUGGGAUGCUUGUAUGCAGUUAUCUGCUGCAACACCUUCAUGAGCAACUGGUGCUCUCAAGAAUUCACUGGGGUUUAAUUCUGCAAUAGAUUGGGUUGCUUCUUGGUCUGUAUCCUCCAUAUGAGAUAAGAAAUCAAUCCUAUCCCAUGUGGAAGGCUGAAUAAGCUGGAAAGAAGCAGUGGUAUUUCAGUGAAAACUUUCAGCUUUACAGUGCAGUGAGAUGGUUUUUUGAAGAUUCAAUGCGACCUGGACUUGUAAAAUUGGAAGUGGAUAGUUGGAGACAAUCCCUUGAGAUGCAGAAACAAAUUGGCAUUGGUUCUCUUGGCCACCAUGUCCGGCCAAAUGAUGAACCUUUGAAAGAAGUGUUGUGUGGUCACCUUGUUUUGUACUUUGAUUUUGGAUUGUGGCUAUAUUGUCCUGCUCAGGUACUCAUAAGGAAGCUUUUCCAUCCAAUGGAAUUGGCAUUUGUGGGCUAGGAGUGCUUGGGGCAUUUGGUCGAACACCUGGUGUGUUUAGAGCUGCCAAAUUGAUUUUUUGAAGAAUCGGAGGAUUUGGCCGAUAUUCGUGAUGUUUUUUCUACCCAGAAUUGCUCUCCAAGUCUAUAGAAACAAUUUCACAUUAGUUUCGUAUCAUUUGGAUACUUGUAGCACCAUCUCUGACUACUAUGUGUUCGCCGGCGAGUAGUAGAGUAUCGGAGCUCCCAAAUUCCAUGGUAGAAUGCUCUGAAAUUUGGUGGGCCGGUAGAUCUUGACUUGGGGAAGAAAUGGUACUGCUUGGAAUUCCAAAAUUUUCCCCAGAAUUUAUAUGGGAAAUUUAAGAAGCUGCCAGGCGAUUGGAUGCUAAAGUGAUCUCUCCACCGUUUCAAUGGUUUGUAACAGCUCACUUGGAGUUGAGGGAUGAAACCAACUAAGGUAUGUGCGCAAUGGGUAGGGGUUUUGUUUGGGACAGGUCCGGUGGGAUUCCACCGCUGGACAGUGAAUUGUGCCCAUUCCGGUGGUAAACUACCUAGGACGUCGAAAAUCGCCUUGCUAGAGUGGAUUUAAAAAAAGGCAGCGAAGAGAAAACCAAAAGCCUUUAGAUA